GGUCUUGGCCUGUUUUCCCAAGGUCAGCAGCUGGCUGGCUGGCAAGGGCAAAUUUUUCUUUUUAAUCUUUAACUUCACAAUUGUAAAUAUUUGCUUGCUCUUUUCUCUUUUUUUAACAAUAAUUUUUUUUUAAGUUUCUUUGGAAAAGGAGCUUUGAAAUGAUUGCUUUACUUUGAAAGAAAUGACCAGAAAAUCCCCUUUCUGCAGCCCUGCAGCAAUUACUAAUGCUAGUAAUCUGCCCAGCAAACCUUCUCGGGGUUGUUAUAGCACCGAGAGAACAUCCAGCCAACCCUCCCUCUGCCCACGCUCUCUCCCAGCUCGUCCUCACAAGGGUGCAGGUCCAGGAAGCCCGGAGGCCUCCAUUUCCUCCCUGACUUGAAGACUUUGCACACUUGGCUGGGCCAGUGGAUGGAAAGGGUGAAGAUGUCUUGUAGUUCAGCAGAAGUGACACCCUGUGAUUUUGGAAAAUAUUAAAGAACAUGACAUGCUUUCAUCUGGAAUGUGAACAAGACAAGCCCUUAACAGUCUGGGGCUGGUUUGUGGCUGGGAGAGGCCGAGGCUGUUUAACAAAGCCACUCCGCGAUCCGGGUGGAGAUGUCUGGUCAAGAGGGAGGUGACCACCAGAGCAGACAGCAGCCUCAGCUGGAGCCACAACGGCCUUGGUGUACCGUCCUGUGCACUUACACAGAUUCCUCCUCUUGUCCUGAGACCUGCAGGUGCCUACGGCUCACGUGACGGGGGGCAGCUGAGGUCCCAUCAGCCCAGGAGUGGGCGUCCGGCCUGGGCUCCUGCUCCAGCCCCGCUGUGCCCGCGCAGCUCUGUGCACACACCCGCCUCGUGCGGCAGGCACCUGGGACCAGCACCCGUGCCCAGGGGAGCCGGCCGCUCCAGGUGAGCCUGUGUCCCGCAUCAGGGAGCAGAGCAGGCCAGCUGAAACCUGGGGUCCGUCCCACCAGCUCUGGGUGCUGGGUUCCCGCCAUUUCACUCAUUUCCAUAGUAGUGCCUGGCACGUGGCAGACCCUUAAUAAACCUUUG